CAUGGGCAGCCCUAUAUUUUUUACUCCAAUACAAGGCCCAAUUAUCUCUCAAAAUUAGCCAACAACCUUCGUUUUCUGUUGAAUUGAUCUCUACAUUCAGCCCACCAAUUUUUGUGAAUAUAUAUAAUAGAAAAAAAAAAAAAAAAGGCCAAUUGUGUAGAUGUCUCUCCAUAUAUAUAACCCACUUUGAAGUAGAAUUCCAAUUAUUCUUAAAUUUCCAGCUGGCCGCCAUGUUGUCCUAUUGAGUUCAAAUAACUAAAGAAUUUGAUUCAAUGGCUGCCCAAUUAAUAAAUUAUUUUUUCUCCAAGUCCCCAACUUCUACGAAAUGGUCAAUUUAAUCCCCGUGUUUUGGAUUUUGCUAUUUUUCUCCAAUUUUGCUUCUUUCCUUUAACUCCUUUUCAUUUAUCGAGUUUACCUAUAAAACAAAAAAUACAACAAUUUAGGAUAUAAUUUGUCAAAUGAACUGUCAAAUUUUGCUAUUUUAGGGCCCCGAAUAAGUGUAUAAAAUACACUAUCACUGAUUAAUAUUCCAUAUAAAAUUAAUCAAGAGCUUCAUGAAAUUGGCUUUGGAUUUUCGACAGAAUAUUUAGUGAUGUGAUGUGGUCCAACAGACAACUAAUGGUAUCAAAAUAUGUGCACAAAAGACCAAAAUACAGAAUAUAACAAAAUACAGUUAGCUUACCAAAGUGAUCAAUCAAGCUACUAUGCUACCAUGCUCCUUGCCAAUUACUUGGAGCACUGGUGUCAUUGCCUGACUUGAAGGAGGCAAAUGCAUAAGCACCAUGGUAAGUAAUAAGAAGCUAUAUAUAUUGUUGUGUCAAUUCAAGAAUGACAUUUGUAGAGUAGAUAUAAUAAUUUGAAAUUAUACAGGAAAUCUAAAUUUAAACACACAAAAAAUGGUUUUGAAUCACAAUAAUGUACUUUAAGAAAACAUGUUACUUAUAGUCAGCUAUAAGCGAUAUGACCAUAGCCCCUAAAACUCUUUAAUACGGUUAUGUGAAAAAAACAAAACGUUAGGUUUCAUGUGAAUUCCUUGAAAUAUCUUAUGUCAUGUUAACUGGCUGAAAACAUUGUACAUGAAGUCAUCAAAUAUGUGCAAAAUUGCCACCUAGGAAAUUUUAUUCUAUAAACACACUAACCUUUUAUCUCAGCAGCCGCCCUCUUUUCUCCCGCCAAACUCCCGUCCUUGCAGCCGUUUCUUUUGUGUAUAUAUAUUACAACCAUGGGCAGCCCUAUAUUUUUUACUCCAAUACAAGGCCCAAUUAUCUCUCAAAAUUAGCCAACAACCUUCGUUUUCUGUUGAAUUGAUCUCUACAUUCAGCCCACCAAUUUUUGUGAAUAUAUAUAAUAGAAAAAAGGCCAAUUGUGUAGAUGUCUCUCCAUAUAUAUAACCCACUUUGAAGUAGAAUUCCAAUUAUUCUU
rnacentral:lncRNA from 1 species